ensembl:misc_RNA Metazoa_SRP Metazoan signal recognition particle RNA
GCCGGGCGAGGUGGCGGGCUCCUGUAAUCCCAGCUACUCGGAGGCUGAGGCAGGAGAAUGGCUUGAACCCGGGAGGCGGAGCUUGCAGUGAGCCGAGAUCGCGCCACUGCGCUCCAGCCUGGGCAACAAAGCCAGACUCCGUCUCAA